AGUGAACGCUGGCGGUAGGCCUAACACAUGCCAGUCGAACGGCAGCACAGUAAGAGCUUGCUCUUACGGGUGGCGAGUGGCGGACGGGUGAGGAAUACAUCGGAAUCUACUUUUUCGUGGGGGAUAACGUAGGGAAACUUACGCUAAUACCGCAUACGACCUACGGGUGAAAGCAGGGGAUCUUCGGACCUUGCGCGAUUGAAUGAGCCGAUGUCGGAUUAGCUAGUUGGCGGGGUAAAGGCCCACCAAGGCGACGAUCCGUAGCUGGUCUGAGAGGAUGAUCCGCCAGACUGGAAGUGAGACACGGUCCAGACUCCUACGGGAGGCCGCAGUGGGGAAUAUUGGACAAUGGGCGCAAGCCUGAUACAGCCAUACCGCGUGGGUGAAGAAGGCCUUCGGGUUGUAAAGCCAUUUUGUUGGGAAAGAAAAGCAGCAGGUUAAUACCCCGCUGUUCUGACGGUACCCAAAGAAUAAGCACCGGCUAACUUCGUG
rnacentral:rRNA from 1 species